UCUGGUCCUGUGGUAACGCCUUCAAGUAGGCAAAUUUACUUAAAAUCUUUUGGAUUUGUGCAUGUCAGGGUUCUGGAAUUGAGAAUGCUUGGUUCCUCCAACUGGAAAACAGCAGACUCGACGUCCUGUCUUUACCCCAUGGAUUAUCAUAUUCAUCCUUACUGAAAAUCAGUUACAGAACUGGGAAGGCAGCUGCGAUGGCCAAAUUUUUCCUUUUAUGUGGCCUUUGUGAUCUUAUUAUCAGCAGUAGAUGCUCAGGAGGAAAGCAGUCAUCUGGUAUAUUGACAUUGAUUUUCUGCCUCAGAGAGCUUCAAUGAGAGAAGGCUCAGAACUGCACAAACAGAACGGGGUGAGCAAAUUACAGGCAUUUUUCUUGCACUUGGAAGAUGGAGGCCAGGUCUGUUUUGAU